rnacentral:lncRNA from 1 species
AUUUGAUUCCACUAAAAAAAUAGAAUCUAAACCACAAGUGCCCUCGAAAUCCACAUGUCCGCUUGUUUUUUCCCAUAAAAAAUCACAACAGCAGCCAUCUGAGAAAUCACAUUGAAAGUCAUCAGCCUUGGCAGAGAAAUAUACAAUUUGGGGUGUGUGUUCAAGUGUGGAGAAAAGAAGAUUCAUGGGGAGAGUUGACAUCUGGCAAGGCAUCCAAUGUUGAUUAAUCAAGAAAUCCUCAGAAAAGAUUAUGUGAGUCAGCCAGAAAAUUUGAACUUUCAACCCAUAAGUUAAGUUAUCCUAAAAGCUUGUAUAGGAUUGGAUGGAUUGAUUCGUUGGUAAAUCAAGCUACUUGUUUCUGAUUUUCCACAAACAGUUAAAAAUGUCUGAGACGAGAUUUGACAUUGUCACCGUUGACAUUGAUGAUAUGAUGCUUAAGAGCUUGUCCUCGACGCCUUCAAAACCCUCAAUAUUUAGAGUUGGUGAUCAUUUACGCAGCAUAAAUCCAGAGGCUUACGAUCCAGAAAUAAUAGCCAUUGGCCCAUAUCACCGCGGGAAACGUAACUUGCAGAAGAUGGAGCAACACAAAGUCAGAUAUCUAAAGCUGUUUCUUGAAAGAAGAAAUGAGUCAAGUGUAGAAAGAUAUGUUACCACAAUAAGACACUUAGAAGACAUGGCGCGGAAAUGUUAUGCUGAAGACAUCCAACUUGAUGAAGAUGAGUUUGUGCAAAUGUUGAUUCUUGAUGGCUGUUUUAUCAUCGAAUUUCUCCAUAAGUUUCAACAAAUAGAAUGUAGGGAUGAAGAUGACCCCAUUUUCCAGUAUGGAUAUAUGCAAAGUCAUUUGCUUCAUGAUCUAAUGGUAUUUGAGAAUCAGAUUCCAUUUUUCAUCAUUGAUCGUUUGUUCAACAUAAUCAAGAUCAACGAUGAAGACAACAUCAAUUCUCUAAUACUGCCUUUACUAGGAAAUGGCAUUUUCCCAGUGCAAGAUCUUCCUGAAGUCCCUAUUAAUGGUCACCAUCUUCUUGGUAUUGUACAUGACAUCCAGUGUUCAUCAUUUGCAUCAAUAUUAUCUCAUAUGGAUUCUGGAGAUCCUGAUAACGUGGCGAAUAUAAAUUCAGCUGUAGAGAUCAAAGAAGCAGGGAUUUCCUUCAAAAAGUCGGAAUGUAAUAGUUUGUUUCACAUUGAAUUCAAAAAUAAAACAACGAUCAUUCCAGAAUGGGAAAUUUCUGAUUCAACAGAAUCGUUGUUCCGAAAUCUGAUGGCAUAUGAGUACUACCUCCCAGGCAGUCCUCAAAAAUAUGUGACGGACUAUGUAUUCUUUAUGCAUUGUCUCGUCCAUUCCCCAGAUGAUGCAAAAUUGUUGCGCUGUUAUGGAAUCAUUAGCAACUUUUUGGGGAGCGAUAAAAUGGUUUAUCUUCUAAUCAACCAGCUAGGGAAGAAUAUCAUAAUAUCUGAUAAGUUUUCGUAUUCUAAUAUUUUCAACGUUGUGAACCAUCAUUGUCGCCGCAUAUGGAAUAUAAGGAUGGCAACAUUGAGGCGAAGAUAUCUUAACAGUCCAUGGGCACUCAUUUCAGUCUUUGCUGCCACUUUCUUGCUUACGCUUGCCAUUCUACAGACUACUUUUCCUAUUCUCUCAUACCGUAAGUUACUCCCCAAGUAUUGCAUAUUUUAACCUUUGUUUGGAAAAUGUAUAAAUGGUUUACAAAUAGGAAUAUUAACGGGUCCCACAAAAUAUAUGGGUGAUAAUGAGUAUAGUUUUGAAUGUAUGGUCGGAAUUAAUAUUUGACUUUGACCGAAUCUUAUAAAUUGUAUCCAAAUAGAGGCUUAUUGUAGAAAAACUCGUCAAGUAUGCUACUAGAAAUUGAUCUUGGAUUGUUUCGUUAAAAAGGAAUUAAUGUUUAACUUUGACCGAAUCUUAUAAAUUGUAUCCAAAUAGAGGCUUAUUGUAGAAAAACUCGUCAAGUAUGCUAUUGAAAAUUGAUCUUGGAUUGUUUCGUUAAAAAGGAAGCUUCUCCCUUUCUUUGAAAUGCAUUACUGAUACAUCUGUUGUGUGACAAUCAUGUGAACUACUAAGAGAAAUUUAUAUUUGAUUAUCGAAUUGUUUAAAUGCAUACAUGUUAUUGCAGGCAAUGAUCUCAACAAGGGGAAUUGAUUCUUAAUUUUUGAAGCUGGCAACAAUGUAUGGGAACUCAAACUACUAACUUCAAGGACAAUACAGAGCCUACUGGGUCUAUCUUGGUGUAAGAAGCAAUUCUGAACAAGGUUUCUAAUUAGUUGUUGUUAGUAGAUCUUGAUUGUUUGUCUUUAUUCUUUAUUUUUUUUUUCCUUAUUCUUCACAAAAAAUGAGUUUGCAUUCUCAGUUGUUUUAUA